rnacentral:rRNA from 1 species
UACGAAGGGGGCUAGCGUUGCUCGGAAUUACUGGGCGUAAAGGGCGCGUAGGCGGACAGUUUAGUCAGAGGUGAAAGCCCAGGGCUCAACCUUGGAAUUGCCUUUGAUACUGGCUGUCUUGAGUUCGGGAGAGGUGAGUGGAAUGCCGAGUGUAGAGGUGAAAUUCGUAGAUAUUCGGCGGAACACCAGUGGCGAAGGCGACUCACUGGCCCGAUACUGACGCUGAGGCGCGAAGGUCAGGGGAGCAAACGGG